GCUGAAACCUUGGCAGUCCAUGCCUUUCAUCUGCCCAGAUUAUUGAUGAUUCUGGAGCUUCAUUCGGCAAGAGCCUAGGGGAGUUAUACCUGUUAUCAGGUGAUUCUAUUGAGUCGCGCCACCACUCAUCGUUGCUUUCAUCUCCAGUGUUUUCAUCAGGAGACAUCGCAUCUCUAGUCUCAAUAACAUAGUCACCAACUAUUAUUGCCCCAGGAUUCUGUGACCUAAUUGCACUUAUGACAUCACCAACCUCCUGUUCACGCUCAAGGCGAUCCCAAGUCCUUUUCCUCGAAAGAUCCACAUGUGCAGGCUU
rnacentral:lncRNA from 1 species